UCGACGAGUUUGAUCAUGGCUCAGAUUGAACGCUGGCGGCAUGCCUAACACAUGCAAGUCGAACGGAGAUAGGGGCAACCUUAUUUCAGUGGCGGACGGGUGAGGAAUGCGUCGGAAUCUGCCCUAUGGUGGGGGAUAACACAGGGAAACUUGUGCUAAUACCGCAUAAUGUCGAGAGACCAAAGCAGGGGACCGCAAGGCCUUGCGCGAUAGGAUGAGCCGACGCCCGAUUAGCUUGUUGGUAGGGUAAUGGCCUACCAAGGCGACGAUCGGUAGCUGGUCUGAGAGGAUGAUCAGCCACACUGGGACUGAGACACGGCCCAGACUCCUACGGGAGGCAGCAGUGGGGAAUAUUGGACAAUGGGCGAAAGCCUGAUCCAGCAAUGCCGCGUGAGUGAUGAAGGCCUUAGGGUUGUAAAGCUCUUUACCAGGGAUGAUAAUGACAGUACCUGGAGAAUAAGCUCCGGCUAACUCCGUG
rnacentral:rRNA from 1 species